GCGAGCCCCGCGACUCGAGUGGGGGGGUUGGCCACGCCAAGCAGGCGGGGAGACGGGAAGCGCACCCCGAGUCGGCUCAGAUCACAUGGGCUGGGUGUGGGGGAGGGGGAGGCGCGGGGAGCUCGGCCCGGGCUGUUCGCUGGGCCGGGAGGCGGCAGCGCCCCCGGGCCCCCCUAGUUCGGACUAUUCAUUCAAGUUCCUGGGGCCCUGCGCCCGAUUCGGAGGUGGCACCCGCCGCCCUCCCUGCCUCUGUGCCCCCGUUUCCAGCCACCGCGCGGAAAUUUAGGUCAAGGACGCCGGGAGCACACCCACACCCUGCGCUCCCAGGGCAGUCCUCGAGAACCCCGGGAUCUGGGGGGCUUGCGGAUGGAGGAGACCCUCCUGCACGAACACCAGCCACAAGUUUUAUUUUCCCUUCGCGCGGCAAGUUCUCUGGCUCCCGCUCCACACUGGCACGUCCUGCACGGCUCCCCGCCCUUCCCCGCCAGAGGCAGAAGUCAGUGGCUACCUUCCUGAUGGAGACUUGAACAAACUGUUAAGUGGUGAGCUGGGAGGAGACCUGAUGGGGCGGGGCCCCGAGCACUGCAGUGUCCAAGCCAGAGACUGAUAAAGGACUAAAGGAGAAGGCUACUACGUCACUGCACUGUUUUUCUUAAGAUUUGGAAAUCUGGUGUUUUGGCUAACGAGUUGUGUUCCUCUUCGCCUCUUAUGACUCUCCUUUCUCACCUCCAGUUCAAAAUGACUGCAAGCAGCCAAGCCACCAACUCCGUCUUGAUGAAAGGGGCCGGGCUCCCAGAAGAAAAUAGCUUUGCCUUUCAACUCCACCUGGAAACGGUUGACAUGGCGCUACCUUCACUCAAGCCUCUCCACUAGCCUUGGCGCUUCCCCCAUCUCUGCCAAGGCUGGCCCCUGCCAAGCCAAUCUAAAUAUCACAGCUGGAAGUACAGGGUCUCCCCCGCCCCCAACCCUUUCUCCCACACUCUAUACGUUGUACCUUGGGACCUUUCAACAUUCUCUAUGGUCAUUCUGAACACCCGCACCCUGCCCAUCCACUACGGCAACAGGCUCACAGACCCACAACUACACAUUAGAUUUUUUAAAAAAAACUUUUGUUCCCCCUUUACACAAUACAGGAGGUGGCCACAGCAGCCGGACACAGCACCUCAACAGUGUUAACUCUAUUAUGUAUUUGUAUCUCCAGAAGGCCCUUCCAACAAAAUCAACAAAAUUGCCACUUAAUAGAAGAAACGCGCACUUUGGAGGACUGUGGGUGAGCGCGCCCUCUACUGGUGAUCAGAGGAAGUGCUUUUUACUGUAGGUUCCCUCUUCUGGUGGAGCAGGGGAAAAAAAAAAGACUGUCUCUCCAGAGUUCAAGUUCCUGCUCCCAAAUUCUGACAUCUAAAUCUCCCCAAUUUAGGGGUUUCCUGUAGCUGAUGCCAAGACCCACCACGAUAGCCCAUGCUGCAAUUUCUACAAUUAAUACCAGUCAGCUAAAAAAAAAAAAAAAAAAAAAAAACCUAAAAGGAAGGAAACUUCAAUAAGUUGGAAUGGAAUCUGCUUAGGCAAACAUGGUAUUGACACUUACAGAAGGACAGAAGGGGAAAAAGGAGCGAGAAAGAAGUAUUAGGUGUAACGAGAACAAAGGGUAGACUGUAGCGUAAAUUGCUCGCUGGGCAAGACACUCUUGCUAAAAAUAAAACUGCCUGGAGAGGACAUCACAAAUAAAGAUGUGCUGUGUCCAUGGCAGGAGGAGCCAGCA
rnacentral:lncRNA from 1 species